ensembl:snRNA U6 U6 spliceosomal RNA
GUGCUUGCUUUGGCAGCACAUAUGCUACAAAUGGAACAACACAGAGAAGGUUAGCAUGGCCCCUGCACAAGGAUGACACAUAGAUUCAUGAAGCAUUCCAUAUUUUU